rnacentral:rRNA from 1 species
UAACCUCGGAUUAAAUAAAAUUACCCGUUAAACUUAAAUAUAUUAAUAAGCGGAGGAAAAGAAAUUAAUAAGGAUUACUUUAGUAACGGCGAGUAAAACGGUAAUAACUUAAAUUUAAAAUUUAACUUUUAAGUCCGAGUUAUAAUUUAAAAAAAAUAUUUUUAACGCGGCGCCGUCCGAGUUUUUUAAAAUAAAACGUUAUAAAGGGUAAAAGCCCCGUAUAAACGGCCGCUUAACUUUUAUAAAGCUUUUUCGACGAGUUAAAUAAUUUAAAAAUACUACUUAAAAUAAAAGGUAAAUUUCUUUUAAAGUUAAAUACCGGUUAAAGACCGAUAACGUAUAAAUAAAGUAAUCGAAAAAUAAAAAGUAUUUUAAAAAAAGGGUUAAAAAGUACGUAAAAUUAUUAAAAGGGAAGCGCCUAUAAUUAAACUUACGGCCUAUAGAUUAUCCGGUAUUCUUUACCGGUAUACUCCGCGGGCUAUAAACUAGUAUCGGUUUUUUUAAAGGGAUAAAGGUCGCGGGAACGUAGCUUUCUCGGGAGUAUUAUAGCCCGUAACGUUAUGCUUUUAAAGAGACCGAGGACCGCGCUUCGGUAAAGAUAUUAACGUAAUAAUUACCGGCGACCCGUUUUAAAAUACGGAUUAAAGAGUUAAGUAUUAAAGCGAGUAUUUAAGUAUUAAACCCGUACGUGAAAUAAAAAUAAACGUAAGUAAAAGCUUCGGCGUAUUACCGACCGAUUUUAAUAUUUUCGGAUAAAUUUAAAUAAAAACUUUACCGUUUAAACCCGAAAAAUAGUAAAUUAUAUUUAUAUAAAGUAAAGUUAAAAGAAACUUUAAUAAAAGCUCGUAACGGUUUUAACGUAUAAAUCGAUCGUUAAAUAUAAAUAUAAAAGCGAAAGAUUAAUCGAAUUAUUUAAUAAUUAAUUACCGCCGAAGUUUCCUUUAAGAUAAUAAUAUUAUAUUUAAUUUUAUAAAGUAAAGCGAAUAAUUAAAGAUUCGGAGGCGUUAUAUUACCUUUAUUUAUUUUUAAACUUUAAAUAUAUAAAAAGCCUUUUUUACUUAACUAAACGUAAGCCUUUAAAUAUACUAAUAUUAAUGGGCUAUUUUUAGUAAAUAAAAUUAACGAUACGGAAUAAACCGAACGCGGGGUUAAAGUACCGGAGUGGACGCUUAUUAAAUACUAUAAAAAGCGUUAAUAUAUUUUAAUAAUAAAACGGUGGUUAUAAAAGUCGGAAUCCGUUAAAGACUAUAUAAUAACUUACUUACUGAAUAUAUUAACUUUAAAAAUAAAUAACGUUUAAGCGUUUUACUUAUACCCCGCCCUUAAGGCAGAAAUAAGGCCUUAAAGAGUAAACGGCCGUAAAGGUUAGUGACGAAGCUUAAGGCGUAAGCCCGGGUCGAACGGCCUUUAAUAUAAAUCUUAGUAAUAGUAAUAAAUACUUUAAUAAAAACUUAAAGGACCGAAAUGGGGAAAGGUUUUAUAUAAAUAGCGGUUAAACGUGGGUUAGUCGGUUUUAAGCUAUAAGGAAGUUCCGUUUUAAAAGGGCACUUAUGCUCCGUUUAACGAAAAAGUAAUAGGUUAAUAUUCUUACACUUAAAUAUAAGUUUUACGCGGCAACGUAAUUAAACGCGGAGACGACGGUAAAAGCCCCGAGUAAAGUUUUUUUUUUUUUUUAACGGUCCGCCACCCUAGAAAUAGUUUAUUUAAAGAUAAGGUUUAAUGGCCGGAAAAGCUUAGUACCUUUACUAAGUUUAGUGCGCUCUUAACGUCCUUUAAAAAUCCGCGGGAAGGAAUAAUUUUUACGUUAAACCGUACUUAUAACCGUAGUAAGUCUUUAAAGUAAAUAACCUUUAAUUAAUAAAAUAAUAUAAAUAAAAAAAGUCGGUAAAAUAAAUCCGUAACUUCGGGAAAAAAAUUAACUUUAAAGGUUAAAUGCGCUAAGCCUUUAGUUAAAGCGUUAAAAGCAGGGGGCCACUAACCGGGUAACCGGCCGGAGGCCUUUAACACUCGGUGCGGACGCUUUUAAUAGGCUUCGACCGUCCGGCGCAUAAUUAAUAAUUAACUUAAAACUAGUACGGAUAAGGGGAAUUUAACUAUUUAAUUAAAAUAUAAUAUUACGAUAACUAAAAAGUAAUAUUAACGUAAUAUGAUUUUUACUUAAUACUUUAAAUAUUAUAAUAAAAAGAUUUAAUUAAGCGCGGGUAAACGGUAAAAGUAAUUAUAACUCUCUUAAGGUAGCUAAAUGCCUCGUUAUUUAAUUAGUGACGCGUAUAAAUGGAUUAACGAGAUUCCCACUAUCCUUAUUUACUAUUUAACGAAAUUAUAAUUAAGAGAACGGGCUUAAUAAAAUUAACGGGGAAAGAAAACUUUAUUAAGUUUAACUUUAAUUUAAUAUUAUAAAAAGAUAUAAAAGGUGUAGAAUAAGUGGGAGCUUCGGCGCCGGUGAAAUAUCAUUACUUUUAUUGUUUUUUUAUUUAUUUAAUAAAGCGGGGCUGGACGUAUGUUUAACUUUUAAUAUUAAGGUCUUUCGCGGGCCGACCCGGGUUGAAGACAUUAUUAGGUAGGGAGUUUAACUAGGGCGGUACAUUUAUUAAAUUAUAACGUAAGUAUCUUAAAGGGGGCUUAUAAAAAAUAAAAAUCUUUAGUAAAAUAAAAGGGUAAAAGUCCCCUUAAUUUUAAUUUUUAAUAUAAAUAUAAACUAUAAAAGUAUAGCUUAUCGAUCCUUUAAUCCUUUAAAAUUUAAAGUUAAAGGUGUUAAAAAAGUUAUUAUAAAAAUAAUUAGUUUAUAGCGGUUAAGCGUUUAUAACGACGUCGCUUUUUAAUUUUUCGAUAUCGGUUUUUUUUAUUAUACCGAAGCAGAAUUCGGUAAACGUUAAAUUAUUUACCCAUUAAUAAAGAACGUAAGUUAAGUUUAAACCGUCGUAAAAUAAGUUAAUUUUACUUUAUUAAUAACCUCGCCGUAAUAGUAAUUAAGCUUAAUACGAGAGGAACCGUUUAUUUAAAUAAUUAGUUUUUACGGUUAUCCGACCGGGUAAUGCCGCGAAGCUAUUAUUUACUAAAUAAUAGCUAAACGCCUUUAAGUUAAAAUUUAUAUUAAAACGCGGCGACACCUCCCGUACGUUAUAGACGGAUUAGAAUAGGCUUCGGCCUCGUAUCUUAAUAGGCGGUUUUAUUAUCGAGUUAAAAAAAGCUCGGUAGUCUUCCGCGUAUCGUAAUUUUACUACGCGCGGGAUUAAAUCCUUUAUAAACGACUUAGUUAUGUGAAAGGGUUUUAUAAGUAGUAGAGUAGCCUUAUUAUUACGAUUUAUUAAGGGUAAGCCCUUCUUCGCCUCGAUUUCU